GACUUGUGCUCUUCAGAUUUGUGAAACUUCCUAAAUGUAGUCUGGUAUGUAAUAGAAUAAGUGAUUGUACAUGAACUAACCGGCAUUUCUCGCUUCUGUAAACCUGCUUGCUUAACACAUUCCUCCCCUACCCCCUUCCCCCUU